rnacentral:rRNA from 1 species
GACGAACGCUGGCGGCGUGCCUAAUACAUGCAAGUCGAGCGAAUCUGAUGGGAGCUUGCUCCUUGAUGAUUAGCGGCGGACGGGUGAGUAACACGUGGGUAACCUGCCUGUAAGACUGGGAUAGCUCCGGGAAACCGGGGCUAAUACCGGAUAACUUUUUUCUUCGCAUGAGGGAGAAUUGAAAGAUGGCUUCGGCUAUCACUUACAGAUGGACCCGCGGCGCAUUAGCUAGUUGGUGAGAUAACGGCUCACCAAGGCGACGAUGCGUAGCCGACUUGAGAGGGUGAUCGGCCACACUGGGACUGAGACACGGCCCAGACUCCUACGGGAGGCAGCAGUAGGGAAUCUUCCGCAAUGGACGAAAGUCUGACGGAGCAACGCCGCGUGAGUGAUGAAGGUUUUCGGAUCGUAAAACUCUGUUGUUAGGGAAGAACAAGUAUCGUUCGAAUAGGGCGGUACCUUGACGGUACCUAACCAGAAAGCCACGGCUAACUACGUG